rnacentral:rRNA from 1 species
GAUGAACGCUGGCGGCGUGCCUAAUACAUGCAAGUCGAGCGAACAGACGAGGAGCUUGCUCCUCUGACGUUAGCGGCGGACGGGUGAGUAACACGUGGAUAACCUACCUAUAAGACUGGGAUAACUUCGGGAAACUGGCGCUAAUACCGGAUAAUCUCUUGAACCGCAUUGUUCAAUAGUGAAAGACGGUUUUGCUGUCACUUAUCGAUGGAUCCGCGCCGCAUUAGCUAGUUGGUAAGGUAACGGCUUACCAAGGCGACGAUGCGUAGCCGACCUGAGAGGGUGAUAGGCCACACUGGAAGGGAGACACGGUCCAGACGCCUAAGGGAGGCAGCAGUAGGGAAUCUUCCGCAAUGGGCGAAAGCCUGACGGAGCAAGGCCGCGUGAGUGAUGAAGGUCUUCGGAGCGUAAAACUCUGUUAUUAGGGAAGAACAAAUGUGGAAGUAACUAUGCACGUAUUGACGGUACCUAAUCAGAAAGCCACGGCUAACUACGUG